rnacentral:ncRNA from 1 species
UAACCUCUGGCGAGGGGCGUGAAUGUUG